UUAAAUUUUAAUGAGGGUGAAUAACAAUGGCAUUAGAUAUGCAAAAUCAUUACUGCACAUGUAAAUCUUGUUUGUGAUGUUACAUUAAGGCCUCCAUGCAACCUUCACACACUUUCUGACCGUGUCAAUUUAAAUUUUAUCGCAUUUCAACAUUAAUUAUAAAAGAUGUUCUAUUGUUAUGUUAUCUUGUCUACAAAUUAUCCCGCGUUUUUUAAUUGAAAAACGGAAAUUACAUAAUCUAAUUGGAAUGUCAAAUUCACCAAUGAAAAUGCUUCUUGUAAAUAUCACCUGAUUCGCCUAUAUAUAUGUUCGCCAAAUAUUUGCCAAACUUUUCAACGUUGUAAAAACUCAGUCUGUUUAGAGACAAGUGUUUAAAAGUAUUUCAAUUCAACCGAGAUAGGGACUUUCCCAAAACAACACAUCAGGCGAUCAGGAACCUUAACACUUCAGAAAUGAGAGAUAACAAAUUGUUGAAAACAAGCAUACCGUUGUACAUUUUCUCGGUAUUGAUGUUAAAAUGGGCUUCAACGAAAACAUUAUUGCCAAGAUCUUUGUCAAUUUAUUUCAAUGGAUUCACAAUAUGGGCUGCCAAUUUGGUCAUUGCAAAGGGGCAAAUUGCCCGACUGGUUUCAUUGGUCACAAGAAUCCAGACGAAGACGUUUGCUGUAAGCCAACAUCGUGUUUCCCUGGUACCUUCGUGCAGCCUUGUCAACUUAACUUCACCUCUGAUGUUUGUCUCCCGUGUGAGGCCAAUUCCUAUCAACUGGAUUUCACCAAUUCCAGCUUCCCACACCCUUGUAUCAAGGCCAACUGCCCCCCAGGGGCCAUGAUGACAUCAGCCUUUUCCCGAUCAGGAUGCAGGUUAAGAUGUAAAUGUGACGAAGAAAAGGGAUACUAUGGAGAAGACCCUUGUAAUUGUAAACGCAUUGAAGACAAAACGAACAAAGAAAGGAAAGGCCACGCUGAGUACGAAAAACAGCGAGAUAACCUGAUGUUCGUCCAUAACCAAACACAGAUCAAAUUAGUCAUUAUUGCUGUGGCCAUCACCAUAGGACUCAUGAUCUUGAUGUGUUUUCUGUAUCUCCACUGCGAGCUACAUGUACAGAGUAGACUAUCAACAUCAUUGAAUUUGGGUCCAGGGAAGGGAGACCAGGAGUGCAUACCCCUUGAGGUUUCCCCUGUAUAGAGUCUCCUAAUUUUAAUGUUUACAUCUCUCCUUUCAAUGACAUGGAUCCAAACACUAUUCAUCGAACAUGAGGAAUAAAGCAUUUUACCGGCACGUUAUUAUAAUACACACACUAUGCAUUUGACAUUUGUUUACAUAAUUAGUUGUAAUUUGUAACAUGUUUUAGUAUACAUAUGGUUAUUUUAUCAUAAAGAUUUAAAGUUAUCUCUCUUGAUACGCAUUUAAUCAUUUAAAUCACUUAAUUAAGUGUAUAUACAAAUUAAAUUAACUGUGAAUGCUGAUUUUUAUUUAACCGGAAUAUAAGAACUCUGGAGUUGAUAUGUAUAAAUGGCAGAUCUGAAAUUAACGAUUUUCAUCUUUAUUUUUAUUUCUUUUAAGUAAA
rnacentral:sRNA from 1 species